rnacentral:rRNA from 1 species
AUUGAACGCUGGCGGCAUGCCUUACACAUGCAAGUCGAACGGCAGCACGGGGGCAACCCUGGUGGCGAGUGGCGGACGGGUGAGUAAUGCAUCGGAACGUGCCCUGAAGUGGGGGAUAACGCAGCGAAAGCUACGCUAAUACCGCAUAUUCUGUGAGCAGGAAAGCAGGGGAUCGCAAGACCUUGCGCUUUGGGAGCGGCCGAUGUCGGAUUAGCUAGUUGGUGGGUAAAGGCCUACCAAGGCGACGAUCCGUAGCGGGUCUGAGAGGAUGAUCCGCCACACUGGGACUGAGACACGGCCCAGACUCCUACGGGAGGCAGCAGUGGGGAAUUUUGGACAAUGGGCGAAAGCCUGAUCCAGCCAUGCCGCGUGAGUGAAGAAGGCC